CGCCGCGUGAGGGAUGAAGGCCUCUGGGCUGUAAACCUCUUUUCUCAAGGAAGAAGAACUGACGGUACUUGAGGAAUAAGCCACGGCUAAUUCCGUGCCAGCAGCCGCGGUAAUACGGGAGUGGCAAGCGUUAUCCGGAAUUAUUGGGCGUAAAGCGUCCGCAGGCGGCCUCGUAAGUCUGUCGUUAAAGCGUGGAGCUUAACUCCAUUUGAGCGAUGGAAACUGUGAGGCUUGAGUGUGGUAGGGGCAGAGGGAAUUCCCGGUGUAGCGGUGAAAUGCGUAGAUAUCGGGAAGAACACCAGUGGCGAAGGCGCUCUGCUGGGCCAUAACUGACGCUCAUGGACGAAAGCCAGGGGAGCGAAAGGGAUUAGAUACCCCUGUAGUCCUGGCCGUAAACGAUGAACACUAGGUGUCGGGGGAAUCGACCCCCUCGGUGUCGUAGCCAACGCGUUAAGUGUUCCGCCUGGGGAGUACGCACGCAAGUGUGAAACUCAAAGGAAUUGACGGGGACCCGCACAAGCGGUGGAGUAUGUGGUUUAAUUCGAUGCAACGCGAAGAACUUACCAGNGUUUGACAUCCUGCGAAUCCCUGAGAAAUCGGGGAGUGCCUUCGGGAGCGCAGUGACAGGUGGUGCAUG
rnacentral:rRNA from 1 species